UCAAGGCUAUUACAUCACUAGCUUUUGGAACCGAUACCUCUGCUAUCGACUGUGUGUAGAGGAUUAAGACGAGAAUCAUAGAGAGUCUGAACUUACUGUCUAUAUUACUUGCUCGAUACGUAUACUUGCGUGUGCAAAAUUAAUAACAAAAAGACCAAAAUAACCUUAUUUUUUUUCAAGUCUAUGCUUAAUGUAUCAAUACAUAGGGAUAAUGUAUCGAUACAUUUUGCCUUAAGUUCAUGUAUCGAUACAUGAUGAACAUUUAUUGAUACAUGUUCAUAGAAAGCCCUUUUUGGAUUUGAUGUAUCGAUACAUUUUGUCAAGAACGUAGAUUUUAAGUCCAAAACCAUGCCAUUU
rnacentral:lncRNA from 1 species